rnacentral:rRNA from 1 species
GACGUAGGGCGCGAGCGUUGUCCGGAUUUAUUGGGCGUAAAGAGCUCGUAGGCGGCCUGUUGCGUCCGCUGUGAAAGCCCGGGGCUUAACCCCGGGUCUGCAGUGGAUACGGGCAGGCUAGAGGUAGGUAGGGGAGAAUGGAAUUCCCGGUGUAGCGGUGAAAUGCGCAGAUAUCGGGAGGAACACCGGUGGCGAAGGCGGUUCUCUGGGCCUUACCUGACGCUGAGGAGCGAAAGCGUGGGGAGCGAACAGG